rnacentral:rRNA from 1 species
UAAGAGGUAGAGCGACCGAUAGGUCAAGAGGGCUUCACCGCCUAUCGAGACCUGACGAACUCCGAAUGCUUACGGAUCGCAGCCAUGCAGUAAGGGGGCGGGUGCUAAGGUCCGUCCCCGAGAGGAGAAGAAUCCAGACCGCCGUCUAAGGUCCCGAAAUUCUGUCUAAGUUAGUCUAACGAAGUCUGGUCCCCGUGACAGCUAGGAUGUUGGCUUGGAAGCAGCCAUUCAUUCAAAGAGUGCGUAACAGCUCACUAGUCGAGGGUCCGGGCAUGGAUAAUAAUCGGGUAUAAGGCAGAUGCCGAAGGCGCGGGAUAGUAAUUAUAAAAGUAUCGGUAGGGGAGCAUACCAUGUGCGUCGAAUGGUGAAGAUAACUGAUCCUGGAGCGCAUGGUAAAGCAAAUGUAGGUAUAAGUAACGAUAAGAGGGGUGAGAUUCCCCUCCGCCAUAAGUCUAAGGUUUCCCGGGCAAUGCCAAUCAGCCCGGGGUAAGUCGGGUCCUAAGUCUCAGCCGAACGGCGAAGGCGAUGGCAGAAACGGUUAAUAUUCCGUUACUACCUUCAGGAGCGAUGUGGAGACGGAGCAGUGACACUGCCGCGGGGCGACGGAAGUCCCCGUUAAAGAGUGUAGGCGUAGAUUGGAGCAGGCAAAUCCACUCCAAGAGCCGACCUUAAUAGUACGACGUCCCCUUCGGGGGAAGUUGAUAGCGCAGGUAAACAUACUCCCGAGAAAAUCCGCUAAGCAUAUCCUGAAGGUACCCGUACCGCAAUCCGACACAGGUAGACGGGUAGAACAUACUAAGGCGUUGAGAGAUUCAUGGUUAAGGAACUAGGCAAAUUGACCCCGUAACUUCGGGAUAAGGGGUCCUCAUUUUUAAUGAGGCGCAGAGAAUAGGUCCAGGCAACUGUUUAACAAAAACACAGGGCUGUGCAAACUCGAAAGAUGACGUAUACAGCCUGACACCUGCCCGGUGCUGGAAGGUUAAGAGGAGAUGUCACUAGUAAUAGGAAGCAUUGAAUUGAAGCCCCAGUAAACGGCGGCCGUAACUAUAACGGUCCUAAGGUAGCGAAAUUCCUUGUCGGGUAAGUUCCGACCUGCACGAAUGGUGUAAUGAUCUGGACGCUGUCUCAAUCAUGAUCUCAGUGAAAUUGUAGUAUCGGUGAAGAUGCCGAUUACCCGCGAUGGGACGAAAAGACCCCGUGAACCUUUACUAUAGCUUAGCACUGACCUUGGUCAUCCGAUGUGUAGGAUAGGCCGGAGGCUUUGAAGCAUGGGCGCCAGCCUGUGUGGAGCCAUCCUUGAAAUACGGCCCUUUGGCUGUCUGAGGUCUAACCCGCUUGAUGUGGGGACACUGCUUGGUGGGUAGUUUGACUGGGGUGGUCGCCUCCAAAAGCGUAACGGAGGCUUCCA